rnacentral:rRNA from 1 species
UACAGAGGGCUCGAGCGUUAGUCGGAGUCACUGGGCUUAAAGCGUACGUAGGCGGAUAUGCAGGCGUCGUGUGAAAUCCCUUGGCUCAACCAAGGAACUGCACGGCGAACCGCAUGUCUUGAGAUCGGUAGGGGCGGUCGGAACGAUAGGUGGAGUGGUGAAAUGCGUUGAGAUCGGAAGGAACGCCCGUGGCGAAAGCGAGGUCCUGGACGUCUACUGACGCUGAGACGCGAAAGCUAGGGGAGCAAACGGG